rnacentral:rRNA from 1 species
AACUAGAACCAGGCUACCGCGUGCGGUAAUACUGCAGUGGACAGCGUUAAGUGGAAUUACGGGACGUAAAGCGUGUGCAGGCGGAGUAUUAAGGCAGAUGUGAAAUCCCUAGGCUCAACCUAGGAACUGCAUUUGAAACGAAUAAACUAGAGUAUCGUAGAGGGAGGUAGAAUUCCAGGUGUAGCGUUGAAAUGCGUAGAUAUCUGGAGGAAUACCAGUGGCGAAGGCGACCUCCUGGACGAAAACUGACGCUCAAGCACGAAAGCAUGGGGAGCAAACAGGAUUAGAUACCCGUGUAGUC